rnacentral:piRNA from 1 species
CAAUAUGCUAAGAAGUGAGACAGGUCU